rnacentral:rRNA from 1 species
GUUAAGUCCCGCAACGAGCGCAACCCUUAUCCUUUGUUGCCAGCGAUUCGGUCGGGAACUCAAAGGAGACUGCCGGUGAUAAACCGGAGGAAGGUGGGGAUGACGUCAAGUCAUCAUGGCCCUUACGAGUAGGGCUACACACGUGCUACAAUGGCGUAUACAAAGAGAAGCGACCUCGCGAGAGCAAGCGGAACUCAUAAAGUACGUCGUAGUCCGGAUUGGAGUCUGCAACUCGACUCCAUGAAGUCGGAAUCGCUAGUAAUCGUAGAUCAGAAUGCUACGGUGAAUACGUUCCCGGGCCUUGUACACACCGCCCGUCACACCAUGGGAGUGGGUUGCAAAAGAAGUAGGUAGCUUAACCUUCGGGAGGGCGCUUACCACUUUGUGAUUCAUGACUGGGGUGAAGUCGUAACAAGGUAACCGUAGGGGAACCUGCGGUUGGAUCACCUCCUUACC